GGGAGGUUUUUUUACCGGGGGGGGGGAAUGGCAAUAGCCUAACGGCUGAACCAGCAACUUGGAAGAACGCAAUUUGAACUCUGUUCUAUAAAGUUCAGGAUAGAUAUAUGAUUUUGACAUUCUCUAUUCGUUAGUCUUGACCAAGUCACGUGCCAGCAGUCGCGGUAAUACGUGAAGACAAGUGUUAUUCAUCUUUAAUGGGUUUAAAGGGUACCUAGACGGCCAAUAAAGUCCGAAACUAGGAUACUAAUUGGCUAGAGUUUUAUGUGAGGGGAAUAGGGUACGAUGAGCGUAGAGAUGAAAUUCUGUGAUCCCAUUCAGGAACCGACGAAAGCGAAAGCAAUCUUCUAUGUAAAAACUGACGUUGAGGGACGAAGGCUCGUGAAACAAACAGGAUUAGAUACCCUAGUAAUGUGGGCAGACAAUGAUGAUGUCAUAUGUAAGUUAAAUAAUUUAUGUAUAAAUGAAAGUGUAAACAUUCCACCUCAAGAGUAACGUGGCAACGCGGAAACUGAAAUCACUAGACCGUUUCUGAAACCAGUAGUGAAGUAUGUUGUUAAUUUGAUGAUCCACGGAAAACCUUACCACAAUUUGAAUGUAAAUAUAAUAACUCUUAUAUUUAUACAGGCGUUGCACGGCUGUCUUCAGUUAAUGUCGUGAGAUUUUGGUUAGUUCCAUUAAAUUAACGUAAACCCUCACUUUAUUUUAUAUAUAAAGUAGCUCACCGCUAUAUUGGAUGUGAUAAGAGGGACCAAGACAAGUCAUCAUGGCUCUAACAUUGUGGGUUAAAAAGGGGCCCCCAUAAAAAGAAU
rnacentral:rRNA from 1 species